AACGAACGCUGGCGGCAGGCUUAACACAUGCAAGUCGAGCGCCCCGCAAGGGGAGCGGCAGACGGGUGAGUAACGCGUGGGAAUCUACCUAUCUCUACGGAACAACUCCGGGAAACUGGAGCGAAUACCGUACACGUCCUUCGGGAGAAAGAUGUAUCGGAGAUGGAUGGGCUCGCGUUGGAUUAGCUAGAUGGUGGGGUAAUGGCCUACCAAGGCGACGAUCCAUAGCUGGUCUGAGAGGAUGACCAGCCACACUGGGACUGAGACACGGCCCAGACUCCUACGGGAGGCAGCAGUGGAGAAUAUUGGACAAUGGGCGAAAGCCUGAUCCAGCCAUGCCGCGUGAGUGAUGAAGGCCCUAGGGUUGUAAGGCUCUCUCGCAGGUGAAGAUAAUGACGGUAUCCUGAGAAGAAGGCCCCGGCUAACUACGUGCCAGCCGCCGCGGUAA
rnacentral:rRNA from 1 species